rnacentral:rRNA from 1 species
AUUGAACGCUGGCGGCAGGCCUAACACAUGCAAGUCGAGCGGAUGAAGCGAGUUUGCUCCUGGAUUCAGCGGCGGACGGGUGAGUCAUGCCUAGGAAUCUGCCUUGUAGUGGGGGAUAACGUCCGGAUACGGGCGCUAAUACCGCAUACGUCCUGUGGUCGCAAGUGGGUGAUCUUCGGACCUCUCGCUAUCAGAUGAGCCUAGGUCGGAUUAGAUAGUUGGUGGGGUAAAGGCCUACCAAGGCGACGAUCCGUAACUGGUCUGAGAGGAUGAUCAGUCAGACUGGAACAGAGGCAGGGUCCAGACACCUACGGUGGGAAGCAGUGGAGAAUAUUGGACGAUGGGGGAGUGCCUGAUACAGCCAUGCCGCGGGUGUGAAGAAGGUCUUCGGAUGGGAAAGCACUUUAAGUUGUGGGGAAGGGCAGUAAGUUAAUACCUUGCGGUUUUGACGUUACCAACAGAAUAAGCACCGGCUAACUUCGUG